AUUUUCCUCUCACAAAGUACAUCCACAUCCAUUUGCCUCCAGGACCCAGCUAGGCAGAGAGCAGGAAGUCCAUUCAAGAGAUGAGGAAACUGAGACCACAACAUACCCAAACUCACACCUGUUUUUUUCUUGAUCCUCAGCCUUUGCAUUUAUCUUGGGAAAACACAUUCCUCUUCAGCUUUGAGGCCUUGGCUUAAAGGUCACUUCAGCCAGGAGGUCCCCGGUCUCCCCAGCUGCAGGGCCUCACAUGCAGGAAGGACAUAAGGAAGAUUUGCUGAAGGAAGGACGGAAGAAAUGAAUGAGCCACCAAAGUGCCAGAUUUUCUGAUCGCCAGUCUAGUGCUGGCAGGAAGGACACUGCAAAGGACAGGGCAAAGCCGCCCAGUGCGGACAUUUCAGCUGUCGGUGCACAGGGACCCAAUGCAUGCCUGGUGUACUGACCCAAGAGCAAGCAGGUAAGCCCUCCCUCUCCCCUCUGCAGAGAACGUGUGGGACCGACCCAGGAAAUCAUGGGAGAUGGGGGGGCAGACAGGAGAGAGUGGGGAAGGUGUAGCUCUGGGGUGUUAGGACUUCCUUCAGGGGAGACAGGAAGCCUGAGUGGAGACAGAACACUGGCUGGAGAGUCAGAGACCUGCCUGGAGUCCUGGCUUUGCUUGACCCCUCUGGGUGGCUUCGGGCAUGUGGCCUCUCCAAUUUGGCCUGUGACUUGAGAAAGUCUGAUGACAUGGGCUCUGGACUUGUUGUCCUCCUGUGGCCUGGGAGCCCUGCAGUCCCCAAGAGACAUCUGUGACCAGAGGAAGUGAGUGAGAUGGUGAUGGACAGUAGGAGCGGGGGGUUGUGACACCCUCGCUCCUGCAGUGGGAGGGGUGAUCACAGCCAGGAGCCUCUGGUCCCCACGAAGAGCCCCACCACUCCCCUCAGCCCCUCUGCAGUUGCUGCCCCUCAGAUUCAAUUUCCAGCUCAGCUUUCACAUCGAGCUCCAGCCAGUAACUUUACCGGAGAAAAUGAUUAUGUGAUUAUUUCAACCUUGCUCCAAACACUGUUUUAAUUGGAUCUGGGAAAAGGCGAUUUGGGCAUCAGAGGGCCCCUGCGGGGGCGGAGCAGCAUGGGAAUGUCAGGCAGAGGCCUGCUAGCUCCUGAGCCGUAAAAGGCAGUGAAUGCUUCUGAGCCACCCCCCAGACCCCCAGCCUUGCCCUGAUAUUCAUCCCAGAUCUGGGUGAGCCUCAGCAGGAAAGAGGAAAUUUGAGGGGUGGGGGUGCUUCCCGGGCAAGCAGGUUGGGGAGGGGAGCUUGCGAGGGGGACAGGAGUCCAGCAGCCGUGUUUCCCGCCCAAAGCAGCCCUCAGCCACUUAGAAAACUGCUUUUCUGCCUAUCUCCCUUCUCUGCUUCCAGCUCAGCCCACCUGGGAGCAAAUUUUUGCUCAAACACUAGCCCAAGGAAGCAGAAUUGGAAAGAACAUCUGAUUUUCCAGAAUCCAGCAGAGCCUUCUAGAGUGAUUUGGGAUUAUCUGCUCCAGGGAUCACCCUGCCAGCUUUCUCCCUCCUAGACAGAUGAUUGGGAUUUGACUAGAUACUAAUCUUUCUAAGCCUCAGUUUCCUCAACUGUGAAAGAGAGGGUUGGUCCUAGGUGACCCCUAAGGCCCUUCCGAGUUCUGAAGGAAGCUAUUUUAGCUGAUUCCCUGUGUGUCCUCCAUGAGGCUGGAGAAGUCCAACCACAGCUCCUUGGUGGCCAAUUCUGUGGGGACACUUGUGGGCUCCCAGCCUUGCAGGGCCCACCUGCUCCAGCGGCUAAGCUUGUCCCUCCCCAUCCCUGAGCCAGAGCUCAGUCAGGUGCCAGGUAGAGAAAGUGAGCCUCGGAUUGGGGCAGGAGGGCAGGGGUGGGGUGUGUCCCACAGGUAGCGGGGUCGCCAGGAAGGACACAAUGUAAGGCCCACCUUUGAUUCCAUGUGUCUCGGGCUCUCUCUCUGCCUACUUCCACCCAUCACCUUAACAAACACCAUGUCAAUUUUUAAAAUUGCUUGAAAGCUGCCAUUGUGGAGAAUGUGCUCUGGGGAGCUCCCCAGAGCAGGAAAGAAUGUGCACCCCCCGCACAUCCCCACCAAGACAUAGGCACUGAGACUGCGGAGAAGACUGGCCAGGCCCUGGCAGACUCCAGCAUCCACCAGUCAUCAGCAAGCAUUUACCGGGCACUUGGUGGGCAUGGGUGGAGGGACAGCGAGGCAGGGGCAAAGGAAUAAAAGGUGUUGGUUAAAUUCAUUCACCAGUUAAUGAGUACCUACUGGGUGCCAGGUAUGGAGCCAGUGCCACCAUGGGGAAGCUGACAAACUGGUCUGGGAGACAGGACACCUCCUUCCCGGAAUAACCUGGAACUUUGAGACUUGGCAGAAAAGAUCGUGAAGAAAUGAGUCCCUAGGCCUCAGCAGCCAUUAGUCUCAAAAGGACGAAGCCCAGAUAGACUUCCUGCAGGAAGGAGGCUGGGGCGUGGUUUGGCCAUGGGAAGAUCAGUGGGCAUUCCAAAGGACCCCACAGCCGAGAUGCUCAGGGAGAAGAGGCAGGGAGGGAGAGAGAAGGUAACCCUCGUGUUUGCAUCUUGUGCCUCACAACACCCCCUAGAGGGGGCAACAGUCAUCUCCAUUUUACAGAUGGGGGUCCUGAGAUCAAGACAGGUUCAGACACUUGCCAGGGCCACACACAGCCACGAGGGACAGAAAGCAAGAUCUGCCCGUGCCCCACAGCCUGUCCUUUCCGGGGGCCACCUCGCCUCUCCCUGAGCAGGCUGGCCUCAUGCUGGGAGCACCGGCAGGCAGAAGCCCAGGGCUCCAUUGGGAAUUAGGAGGCCGGUUCCUGGGGGAUUUUUGGGAUCCAUGAGGAUCAGGGAAUAAGAUCUGAGACAAACAGGACCCCAGCCCUACAGGUGAGUGCCCGCUUGGGGAUGGGGGUUUCAAAGGCACAGAUCACGGGGAGAAAAUUAAAUUGUCAAAGAGGAAAACCAGCACUGCCAUCCCUCCUUCACUCAUUAAUUUCUGAGGAAGUAUUAGCUGUCAGCAAGCAGCGGCCCUCCAAUUCAAAUUACAGAAUUUGAAUUCUUAAUUUCUCCUAAUCCAUCAGUGAGCUGCCUUCCUGGGCUAAUAUUAGCAGCACUGGCGAGGCUUGUAGCAGAGUCAUUGAUGUCUCCCUCCCUCUGAAGAAAGCCUAAUCGAUAGGGCUGGGCCUGGGGUGGGCCCCUCAGAGGCAGGGACCCCCUCCUCACUCCCCAGCUGCCUCCAGUCCCAGGAAGAGAUUGUGGAACUUUAGGGAGGUCCCUGGAGAGACAGGAGAACAAAGAAGAGGGAAGACAUAAUCAGAACCUGACAGAGACGUGGAACAAGGGAGGGAGGGUGAGACCCAGGGAAAGACAAAAUUAGCGAGACCAGGAGAGGUGGAAGCAGAGAGUGAUGGAGACUGAAUCAGAGGCCCAAAGAGGUGGAUGGAGACUGAGAUGGAGAGGAGGCAGGGAGCCCUCCAGAACCUAGGGUCAGAGCAACCCGCACACUGUCUUUGUUCAGGAGAAAACACAGCAAAGCAAAACCAAAGCACCAGGGGACUCUCAGGCAUCUUGGGGAGUUUCGUGCCCCACGGAGAACAUGGUCCCCAUAACCCUGGGCCCACUAGAACACUUUGGUGUCCUGGAGUCAGGUACCUUGAAUCCAAUCAUAGCUCAAAGGUCUCCUCUGCCAGGAAGCUCUCUUGCUUUCCAUCCCUUUCCCCUUGGGCGGUAGCACCCUCUCCUGCUCAGCUCCCUGGGUCCUGGAGACAUUGCACCGCUGCUUCUCUGCACAGGUGGGGAGAGCAUGGGCGAUGAGACCAUUGGGGGCGGGGAAGGCUGCUGGGCUAGGCACCAGACAGGCGUUUCCUAUUGAUCUCUUCAACAAGGCCGUGAGGUUGGGACUAUUAUUACCCUCGCUUAACAGAUGAGGAAACAGGCACAGUUAGGUCACUUGCCCAAGGUCAUGGGGCAAUAAAGUAGCGGUGUCAGGAUUUGAACCCGAGCAGGCUGACUCCAAAGCAAAGUGGUUAAACCCUGUGACAGAACCUUGGGGGAACCCCCAGGGGGUUGUAUAUGGUGCAGUCCCUGUUCUUUUUGAACCACAGAAGGAUGAAGGACAUGCCAGGCCAGCCCCAUGACUUCCUCAUGUGACCCCACUUCCAUCAGCUAGUCUUCUUCUUAACAUCCAGAUAGCCUCAUACUUCCAGCCCUCGUCCAGCUCACACUGCUCCCUCCUGCCUUUCAAUCUCCCAAAUCCAACCCUUCAUCCAGGCAGACCCAAUUCAAGUCAGGCCUUCAGCCGGAAGCUUUCUGGUAGCCCCUGUCCCUCCCUGGCUGGGUCCUGGCCCUUUCUGUGAAUGACCUUCCUCCUCAGCAAGUUGUGAGCCCCUGUGCACAGCCUGGGUGCCCUCCAACAUCCUAGGACUCAGCCUUGCCUGGGCAAGUGCUCAGUAAAUAUUUGUGGACUUAUCAACUGAUUGAUUGGUGAAGUGAAGACAAGAGGCCUAGGACAAAGACGCCUGAGAACUGAGCAGUGUCCCUGUCACCCUGGGCCCUGGGGAAGUGUCAGGGAGCCAGAGACACACAGGCGGGGACUCCAGGCCCCAGCAGCAGUGUGGGCAGAGCAGCACUCCAGACUGCUCUCCCAGCUGCCCUCAGGAGACCCCGUCUUCCCAGGUUAGAGGACUUGGGAUGUGAGUGGGGAAGGGAGAAACAGGGGCCCCUCAACUUGAGAAGGGAGCCCUACAGGCUGCUCUUGAAGCUCCUCUCUCUCCCCAGCUCUGCCCAGGCCCAGGGUCUUCAUCAGGGUUGAGGCCACUGUCCCCCCUCCCUUUGCUGCUCCUGCUGCUCCUCCUCCCCAAUCUGAGAAGCUGGGCCUGAAUAGAACUAUUUUGGGCCAAGCCUCUGAAUUAUGCAAGGUCUGGCCAGAGCCCGCCUGUCCUGAUUGGUGGCAAUGGUGGUUCGGAAUAGGAGACCACUGUGUUCCGUUUUUGGCAAAUGCAUUUCAGUUGCCAGGUGCCAGGUGGAGUGCGAUGGGGUUGCAUGCAUUUGUUUGUGUAGAUUUUGUGACUGAAAGGUUGUGGGUGUGCAUGAACAGUUAUGGGACCACAGCUUCCCAGAGACCUUUCCCACCCUCUGAAGCUCUAAAAGCAUAGACCCCUGGGCCCAGCACCUCGUGGUCCCAAAAUCUGUGUAUCUGGCCAACAGCCAGUAUGAAUGGAGGCCCACCUUCAUGUGGGAUGAUGACACAAGUCAUCCUCCCCCUACCCUGCCCCUGGAGCCAGAUGGACAGAAAAGAGAUAUCACCCCAUCAGGGCAGAUCCAGGAGCGGUGAAGGAGAGGCAUCCACUGCCUGACAAUAAGAGCCGUGAUGGCCACUAUGGGUUGAGAACUUUCUCUGAGUUCAGGCACUUUGCAUACAUGAACUGAAUUAAAUGUCACAGCACUUCUAUACGGUAUGUACUAUUAUUCCCAUUUUACUGAUGAGGAAACUAAGGGUCAGAAAGACUAAGAAACUUGCUCAAGAUCACACAUGUGGAACAAGCAGAAUCAAAAUUCAGACAGCUAUGGAAAUAAUAAGGCAAACCACAGCCCGGGAAACUAUUUCCAAUAGAUACAUCUGACGAAGCAAACUCUUACAACUCAAAAAUAAGAAGACAAACAAUCUAAUUUUAAAACAGUGAAAAGAAGCUAUCGAUGGCCGACCUGCACGUGAAAAAGACAUUUGACAUCAUUUGUUAUCAGGUAAAUGCGAAUUAAAACCACAAUGACGUACCGCUACACACCCAUCAGAAGUCUGACAAGCUGAGUGUUGGUCAAGUUGUGGAGCAACUGGAACUCUUGUCACUGAGCGUAGAAAUGCACGAUGAUACAGCUACUUCAGAAAACAGCCUGCCAGUCAAACAUACAGUGACCCUGGGGCCCAGUCAUUCCACUCUUAGGUAUUUACCCAAUAAAAAAAACAUAUAUUCACACAAAGAGUCGUACACACGUGUUCAUGGCAGCUUUACUCACAGCAGUCCAAUCCCGGAAACAGCAAAAUGUCCAUCAACACGUGGCCAAAUUGUCCUAUUUCAUACAAUGGGAUCCCACUCAGCAAUAAAAAGGUGUAAACUAUUGACAAAACAACAAGGUGGAUGAAUCUCAUAAAUACUGUGAAAAGCAAAAAGCAACCAGAUGCCAAGAGUACACAUUACAUAAUCCCAUUUAUAUGAAACUCUAGAAAAGACAAAUCUGAUCUAUAGUGACAGAAAGCAGACAGUGGUUGCCUGGGGCUGGGGGAAGGGUGGGGUCCACCGGGAAGGGGCACGAGGGAGCUUUUUGGGAUGAUAAAAAUGUUCUUAUUCUGAUUGUAGUGGCGG
ensembl:lncRNA